rnacentral:rRNA from 1 species
UUGGGGGAAUGUAUUAGUCCUCUUAUGAGGCUAGUUGUGUUUUUAGCACUACUUCGUCUAAAAACAUAACACCAACUACGUUGGAUAAAGUUCUAGAUAGAAUACUGAUUAUGACUAUUUUCUAUCUAAAUGUCUUGACCAAAUUACGUGCCAGCAGUCGCGGUAAUACGUAGAAGACUAGUGUUAUUCAUCUUUAAUAGGUUUAAAGGGUACCUAGACGGUAUUAUUAGCCCAAAACAGGGAAAUAUUUUUACUAGAGUUUUAUAUAAGAAGGGAGUAUUUAGGGAGUAGAGUUGAAAUUCUUUGAUACUCUAAGGACUGAUAAUGGCGAAAGCACUCUUCUAUGUAAUAACUGACGUUAAGGGACGAAGGCUUGGGGCGCRAACAGGAUUAGAUACCCUAGUAGUCCAUGCAGAUAAUUAUGAAUGCCAUAGACUAGGUAUAUUUUAGUUUAUAAAUGAAAGUGUAAGCAUUCCACCUCAAGAGUACUGUGGCAACGCUGGAACUGAAAUCAUUAGACCGUUUCUGAGAACAGUAGUGAAGUAUGUUAUAUAAUUCGAUAGUCCUCGUAAAACCUUACCACAACUUGAAUGGUGUCCAGUUUUAAUUUAAUAUUCAAACAAUAGCUUUUUUAACAACAUAAAGAUUAAUUUAGCUAGAUUUGAUAAAAAUAUUUAAUUAAUAGGAUGUUACAAGUGUUGCACGGUUGUCUUCAGCUAAUGUCGUGAGAUUUUGGUUAGUUCCAUAAAAUUAGCGUAAACCCGGGUUUUAUUUUUUAAUAUUUAUUAUGAUAAAGCAGUUCGUCAUUAUAUCGAAAUAUGAUAA